rnacentral:sRNA from 1 species
GUCCACUCAGCGGCGGACCAGAGCCAGAAGCCGGUCAUGGCAAUGGCAGCAGCCGGCCACCUGCAGGUCGUCAUCGCGCCAAGGCCGGCUGC